UACGUAGGGGGCAAGCGUUGUCCGGAAUCAUUGGGCGUAAAGCGCGUGUAGGCGGCCAGGUAAGUCCGUUCUGAAAGCCCGGGGCUCAACCCCGGGAGGCGGAUGGAUACUGCUUGGCUCGAGUCCGGAAGAGGCGAGUGGAAUUCCCGGUGUAGCGGUGAAAUGCGCAGAUAUCGGGAGGAACACCUGUGGCGAAGGCGGCCGACUGGGCCGACCCUGACGCUGAGGCGCGAAGGCGUGGGGAGCGAACGGG
rnacentral:rRNA from 1 species